AGUCGAAAUCCGCUAAGGAGUGUGUAA
rnacentral:ncRNA from 3 species